rnacentral:rRNA from 1 species
UACGGGGGGGGCAAGCGUUGUUCGGAAUUACUGGGCGUAAAGGGCUCGUAGGCGGCCAACUAAGUCGGACGUGAAAUCCCCAGGCUCAACCUGGGAACUGCGUCCGAUACUGGAUGGCUUGAAUCCGGGAGAGGGAUGCGGAAUUCCAGGUGUAGCGGUGAAAUGCGUAGAUAUCUGGAGGAACACCGGUGGCGAAGGCGGCAUCCUGGACCGGUAUUGACGCUGAUGCGCGAAAGCCAGGGGAGCAAACGGG